AACGCUAGCUACAGGCUUAACACAUGCAAGUCGAGGGGAAGCGACAUCGAAAGCUUGCUUUUGAUGGGCGUCGACCGGCGCACGGGUGAGUAACGCGUAUCCAACCUGCCCACCACUUGGGGAUAACCUUGCGAAAGUAAGACUAAUACCCGAUGAUAUCCCUAGAAGACAUCUGAAAGGGAUUAAAGAUUUAUCGGUGAUGGAUGGGGAUGCGUCUGAUUAGCUUGUUGGCGGGGUAACGGCCCACCAAGGCAACGAUCAGUAGGGGUUCUGAGAGGAAGGUCCCCCACAUUGGAACUGAGACACGGUCCAAACUCCUACGGGAGGCAGCAGUGAGGAAUAUUGGUCAAUGGGCGAGAGCCUGAACCAGCCAAGUAGCGUGCAGGACGACGGCCCUAUGGGUUGUAAACUGCUUUUAUAAGGGAAUAAAGUGAGUCUCGUGAGACUUUUUGCAUGUACCUUAUGAAUAAGGACCGGCUAAUUCCGUGCCAGCAGCCGCGGUAAUACGGAAGGUCCGGGCGUUAUCCGGAUUUAUUGGGUUUAAAGGGAGCGUAGGCCGGAGAUUAAGCGUGUUGUGAAAUGUAGGCGCUCAACGUCUGCACUGCAGCGCGAACUGGUUUCCUUGAGUACGCACAAAGUGGGCGGAAUUCGUGGUGUAGCGGUGAAAUGCUUAGAUAUCACGAAGAACUCCGAUUG
rnacentral:rRNA from 1 species